rnacentral:rRNA from 1 species
GUGAGGAAUUUUCCGCAAUGGGCGCAAGCCUGACCCAGCAACGCCGCGUGAGGGAAGAAGGCUUUCGGGUUGUAAACCUCUGUCCUUGGUGACGAAAAAAAUGACGGUAGCCAAGGAGGAAGCCCCGGCUAACUACGUGCCAGCAGCCGCGGUAAUACGUAGGGGGCGAGCGUUGUCCGGAAUUACUGGGCGUAAAGGGUGCGUAGGUGGCCUUUUAAGUUGGAUGUGAAAUACCCGGGCUUAACUUGGGGGGUGCAUCCAAAACUGGGAGGCUAGAGUGCAGGAGAGGAAAGCGGAAUUCCUAGUGUAGCGGUGAAAUGCGUAGAUAUUAGGAGGAACACCAGUGGCGAAGGCGGCUUUCUGGACUGUAACUGACACUGAGGCACGAAAGCGUGGGGAGCAAACAGGAUUAGAAACCCUAGUAGUCC